AGCAAAGGAAAGCUUGAUAGGUCAAAAAUAGUAAGUAAGAGGUUUAAGCAAUUAAUUUGCCAGUCUCUUCCGAUUCAAGGUGAGAGGCAUCUCCGAACGUAUGAAUAUGACCGGUCCCAUGCUCAGUCACCUCAAUCUCAGUAAUGCUGGUAUUAAAGGUUAUGAUUUUGCUUUCGAGUUUCGAUUUGUCAAAAGUGAAACCCUUUUCCUCCAUAAAAUGAGUUCGCAAAACAUUGAUAACACCUCCAUGGCAAAGGACAAUAACACAUUUUUUCUUGCCUUGUAAAGGGACGACAUAUUCAUCCCAAAACUUCAAUAGACGACUAGUAAGAUGAGACAAACCCUCUCCAUAAUGAUCUGGAUGGUUGGCAUUCAACAGUUUUUUGGCUUCUACAACGUUCAUGCCUAUUUCAUUAGAAUUUUUUAUAUUAGAAAAGUACUUGUUUAUACAAAAUUCAUACCUUCAAGAUCACCAUAGACUCGCUUUUUAGACAAUAUUAGCAUGACAUAAAUAUAUCUAAAAACGUACCUCGCGAAUUAAAUCAGUAUACACUAUCGGAACCUCAGGUUUAAGCUCAAGAUAAGGGGCGAUUGUCUAAUUUUUUUGUUAAAAUAAUAAAAAGAAUUAGCACUCACCUCCCGGCAUCGCUUCAUAGAGCUACAGAAUAUCUGAUCAAUAUCAAGGGGAAGUAAACGUUGAGCUAAAAGCUUCGCUUGUAAACGUCCCGUUUCAUUCAAGUUUGUAUCUACAGAACCUUGCUGCAAUUAAGAUGGUAAGUAAAUUGAUAUCAUCAUAGUUGAUCAUCCGUCUAGAAAUGAAAAUUGAGUAUGCUAAACAAACACUCUCUGUAUGAUGUGACAAGCUUUAAACAUAUGCUCAGAAAAACAAUCACUUAUAGGUAUUAAAACUUACUAAGAUACCGCGUUUGUUCUGGUCGGUUUGACCAUGUCGAAUCAAGAACACCUUCAUAGUCAGAUUAGAGAACAAUGAUACACUAUUUUCAAUCGAUGUUAGUUAAGAAUGAUGAGAUUGUAAUUGUAAAGGCCUGUAGACGAACAUUCUGAAGUUGGAAUCGUAACAAUUUCA